GCUCGAUACUGACACUGAGGUGCGAAAGCAUGGGGAGCAAACGGGAUUAGAUACCCCGGUAGUCACGCCGUAAACGAUGUCUACUAGCCGUUGGAGGACUUGAUCCUUUAGUGGCGCAGCUAACGCGAUAAGUAGACCGCCUGGGGAGUACGGUCGCAAGAUUAAAACUCAAAUGAAUUGACGGGGGCCCGCACAAGCGGUGGAGCAUGUGGUUUAAUUCGAAGCAACGCGAAGAACCUUACCUACUCUUGACAUCCAGUGAACUUUUGAGAGAUCAAUUGGUGCCUUCGGGAACACUGAGACAGGUGCUGCAUGGCUGUCGUCAGCUCGUGUUGUGAAAUGUUGGGUUAAGUCCCGUAACGAGCGCAACCCUUGUCCUUAGUUACCAUCAUUAAGUUGGGGACUCUAAGGAGACUGCCGGUGACAAACCGGAGGAAGGCGGGGACGACGUCAAGUCAUCAUGGCCCUUACGAGUAGGGCUACACACGUGCUACAAUGGCAUGUACAAAGGGUUGCCAAGCCGCGAGGUGGAGCUAAUCCCAUAAAGCAUGUCGUAGUCCGGAUUGGAGUCUGCAACUCGACUCCAUGAUGUCGGAAUCGCUAGUAAUCGUGAAUCAGAAUGUCACGGUGAAUACGUUCCCGGGCCUUGUACACACCGCCCGUCACACCAUGGGAGUGGGUUGCUCCAGAAGUAGAUAGCUUAACCUUCGGGAGGGCGUUUACCACGGAGUGAUUCAUGACUGGGGUGAAGUCGUAACAAGGUAACCGUA
rnacentral:rRNA from 1 species